CCCCCGUGAUGUGUUGCUAACAUUAAGUUGAGGACUCACAUCAGACUGCCGGUGACAAACCGGAGGAAGGUGGGGAUGACGUCAAGUCAUCAUGGCCCUUACGUCCAGGGCUAGAAACGUGCUACAAUGGCGUACACAAAGGGAAGCAAGACCGCAAGGUGGAGCGAAUCUCAUCAAAGUACGUCUAAGUUCGGAUCGCAGUCUGCAACUCGACUGCGUGAAGGCGGAGUUGCUAGUAAUCGCGGAUCAGAAUGCCGCGGUGAAUACGUUCCCGGGCCUUGUACACACCGCCCGU
rnacentral:rRNA from 1 species